rnacentral:snRNA from 1 species
GUACUCGCUUCGGCGGUACAUAUACUAAAAUUGGAACGAAACAGAGAAGAUUAGCAUGGCCCCUGCGCAACGAUGACACGCAAAAUCGUGAAGCGUUCCACAUUUAA